rnacentral:rRNA from 1 species
UCUCUGGUCUGUACUGACGCUGAGGCGCGAAAGCGUGGGGAGCAAACAGGAUUAGAUACCCUGGUAGUCCACGCCGUAAACGAUGAGUGCUAGGUGUUAGGGGUUUCGACGCCCUUAGUGCCGAAGUUAACACAUUAAGCACUCCGCCUGGGGAGUACGACCGCAAGGUUGAAACUCAAAGGAAUUGACGGGGGCCCGCACAAGCAGUGGAGCAUGUGGUUUAAUUCGAAGCAACGCGAAGAACCUUACCAGGUCUUGACAUCCUUUGACCACCCUAGAGAUAGGGCUUUCCCCUUCGGGGGACAAAGUGACAGGUGGUGCAUGGUUGUCGUCAGCUCGUGUCGUGAGAUGUUGGGUUAAGUCCCGCAACGAGCGCAACCCUUGACCUUAGUUGCCAGCAUUCAGUUGGGCACUCUAAGGUGACUGCCGGUGACAAACCGGAGGAAGGUGGGGAUGACGUCAAAUCAUCAUGCCCCUUAUGACCUGGGCUACACACGUGCUACAAUGGAUGGUACAAAGGGUUGCGAAGCCGCGAGGUGAAGCCAAUCCCAGAAAGCCAUUCUCAGUUCGGAUUGCAGGCUGCAACUCGCCUGCAUGAAGCCGGAAUUGCUAGUAAUCGCGGAUCAGCAUGCCGCGGUGAAUACGUUCCCGGGCCUUGUACACACCGCCCGUCACACCACGAGAGUUUGUAACACCCGAAGUCGGUGGGGUAACCUUUUGGAGCCAGCCGCCUAAGGUGGGACAGAUGAUUGGGGUGAAGUCGU